rnacentral:rRNA from 1 species
UGCAAGUCGGAGCGGAAAGGCCCUUUCGGGGGUACUCGAGCGGCGAACGGGUGAGUAACACGUGAGUAAUCUGCCCUUGGCUUUGGGAUAACUACCGGAAACGGUGGCUAAUACCGGAUAUGACCAUGCUCGGCAUCGGGUGUGGUGGAAAGUUUUUUCGGCCAGGGAUGUGCUCGCGGCCUAUCAGCUUGUUGGUGGGGGUAAUGGCCCUACCAAGGCUUCGACGGGUAGCCGGCCUGAGAGGGUGACCGGCCACACUGGGACUGAGACACGGCCCAGACUCCUACGGGAGGCAGCAGUGGGGAAUAUCGGACAAUGGGCGGAAGCCUGAUCCAGCAACGCCGCGUGAGGGAUGACGGCCUUCGGGUUGUGAACCUCUUUCAGUACCGACGAAGCGCCGAUGAUGGUGGUGACGGUAGGUACAGAAGAAGCACCGGCCAACUACGUG